rnacentral:rRNA from 1 species
GACGAACGCUGGCGGCGUGCCUAAUACAUGCAAGUCGAGCGAAGUUUUUCUGGUGCUUGCACUAGAAAAACUUAGCGGCGAACGGGUGAGUAACACGUAAAGAACCUGCCUCAUAGACUGGGACAACUAUUGGAAACGAUAGCUAAUACCGGAUAACAGCGUUAACUGCAUGGUUGAUGUUUAAAAGUUGGUUUUGCUAACACUAUGAGAUGGCUUUGCGGUGCAUUAGCUAGUUGGUGGGGUAAAGGCCUACCAAGGCGACGAUGCAUAGCCGACCUGAGAGGGUGAUCGGCCACACUGGGACUGAGACACGGCCCAGACUCCUACGGGAGGCAGCAGUAGGGAAUCUUCCGCAAUGGGCGAAAGCCUGACGGAGCAACGCCGCGUGAGUGAAGAAGGAUUUCGGUUCGUAAAGCUCCGUUGUUAGGGAAGAAUGAUUGUGUAGUAACUAUACACAGUAGAGACGGUACCUAACCAGAAAGCCACGGCUAACUACGUGCCAGCAGCCGCGGUAAUACGUAGGUGGCAAGCGUUGUCCGGAAUUAUUGGGCGUAAAGCGCGCGCAGGUGGUUUAAUAAGUCUGAUGUGAAAGCCCACGGCUCAACCGUGGAGGGUCAUCGGAAACUGUUAAACUUGAGUGCAGGAGAGAAAAGUGGAAUUCCUAGUGUAGCGGUGAAAUGCGUAGAGAUUAGGAGGAACACCAGUGGCGAAGGCGGCUUUUUGGCCUGUAACUGACACUGAGGCGCGAAAGCGUGGGGAGCAAACAGG